AUUUAUAUAAUAAAUAUA
rnacentral:tRNA from 1 species